AAAACAUGGAAAUAGUAUAAUAUUUUGUUCCAUUCUCAUGAGGCACAUGGAAUAGAGAAAUUGUUGAACAAAAUAAAUAACAUAGUACAUAUUUGUGAAAUUAUUAAAUAUCUAUAAUUGCGUGAAAGAAGUUAUUGCUGACCUCAACCAUACUCCUUCACCUUCUAAAUACUAAACACUAAACUCUAAUCACAAAACCCUUACCCACAUAGAAACCCUAAACCCAAAUAUAACUCCAAAUAUAAGCACAAAAUCCAAAUAGAAUUGAGCACAAUAAAUAACAUAGUACAUAUUUGUGAAAUUAUAAAAUAUCUAUAAUUGCAUGGAAGGAGUUAUUGAUGACCUCAACCAUAUACCUUCACCUUUUAAAUACUAAACCCUAAACUCUAAUCACUAAACCCUUACCCAAAUAUAAACCAUAAACUCAAAUAGAAUGGAACAAGAUAAAUAACAUAAUACAUAUUGGUGAAAUUAUGAAAUGUCUAUGAUUGCAUGAAAGAAAUUAAUGAUAACCCUGACCAUACCCCUCACCUUCUAAAUACUAAACUCUUAUAAUUACUAAACCCAAAC
rnacentral:lncRNA from 1 species